AUAUCUCUCCGUACGGGAAGGAUGAGAAGCUUCGACCAAGGUUCGAUUCGAGCGCAGCGAGAAAGCGUUGCCGCAGGCAACGACCCGAAGGGUGAAGCGCGCAGCGCUGAGUAAUCCUUCCCCCACCACCA
rnacentral:sRNA from 6 species